GAACUCAGGCCCUUGCUCUUGCCAGGGAAGUGCUUAUUCCCCUGAGCCAUCUCCCUGGCCCUGAUGAUGUUUGCAUUCUGAUUCUAACAUUCAUCUGUUUAUUUGCCUGUGACCACCUGAGCCUAAGGAUGCUAUUUGUUUCAACUCAGGGAUAUAUGUUUUUCUAGAACACACCACAUGCUCAGUUUUCUUUAAAAGGUCUUGUUAAAUGCUGGCAGGAUAGGAGCUUCUUGUCCUAGGAAACAUCCUCUUGAGUUAUAUAAGGAUACAAGAAGAAGCUGCCUAUCUGCAAGCCAGGAGAGUUCACCACACAGUAGAUCUGCAGAUGGCACCAACACUGGAUCUUUCACUUCCCAACUUUCAA